rnacentral:rRNA from 1 species
AUGAGUUGUUUGAGCUGGAACUGCCGGGGGCUUGGGAACCCCGAGGCAGUUCGAGAGCUUCGCAAAGUGGUGAAGCAAGAAGGGCCCGAGUUGGUUUUUGUUAUGGAGACAAAAAUCAGAGGUAGACGAGUGGAGGAUUUGCGGCAUACCCUAGGGUUUGCAGGCAGUUUUGCAGUAGACAGUGACGCCCUAAGCGGGGGUGUAGGGCUGUUCUGGUCGAAAGAAGUG